UACGGAGGGUGCGAGCGUUGUCCGGAAUCACUGGGCGUAAAGGGCGCGUAGGCGGCGCGGUAAGUCGGGUGUGAAAUCUCGGAGCUUAACUCCGAAACUGCAUUCGAUACUGCCGUGCUUGAGGACUGGAGAGGAGACUGGAAUUUACGGUGUAGCGGUGAAAUGCGUAGAUAUCGUAAGGAAGACCAGUGGCGAAGGCGGGUCUCUGGACGAGUUCCUG
rnacentral:rRNA from 1 species